AGAAAAAAAGAUUCCUGCAGAUCAAGGAAAACCAUUUGGUUAUGUCGUCUCUUGGCCUGUCCUUUGUGGCUCCAGCCUUCAUGAGGAGAGAGAAGCCCGGCCAGGUGAGAGUCUGCUCACCUGAAGAGACGGACUAUGAGGAGGAGCAGCUCUGGACCUCUGGAUUGACCGAGUCUCUCAGGGCGGGGGUGGAGUGACCAGGAGGUCUCUGGAGGGACCACUCCUUCUCAUCCAGAGAUCGACC